CUCUAGUACUCUUGCCUGGAGAAUUCCAUGGACAGAGCACAAUAAAUAGAAUGUACUUGAAUCAUCCCAAAACCAUCCCCCUCCGCCUGAUCUGUGGAAAAGUUGUCUUCCACGAAACCGGUCCCUGGGGUCAAAAGUUUGGGGACCACUGCAUAGCAUAUAAUUUCCUCCAGAAAUUACAGCAGGGUAUAAGUGAGAAUGUUAGGAGUUCCUUCUGUCCCCUGAGGAGAGUUUAUAUCCCUGUCCAAAUACACCAAGUUGCUUUGAAAUUGAACAGUGGACUCAGCUCAAUGACUAUUUCCCACGGAUUAGCCUCACAAAGAGGAAAUUCAAAUUUGAGCUUCCAGAAAAUGAAAGACUUGAAUUUCAUGGGUGCUGAAGUUUGGGCAGAUUCAUCAAAAUUGCAUGUUCUUAACCUGUGAGCGUCAGGUGUCAGCUGUGAUGAGUCCUUGGUGUGGUUUUUUGAACUCCAGUAUGCCAGGCAUUGUACUGCGAGCUUGACAGCCACUGUGGAGUUAGCCAAGAUCGUGGCCCUGCCGUGAUCUUGUGUUGUGCAGGGCCGCCAAGGGCCAACUCCAUCUGUGCAGAGGACCUGGACUCCACUCUUGCCCAUUUGGGGCUCCUGCCAGGAAUCCUUGACACUGGAGAUGCAUCUGAUUGAUUCUGGGAUUGGGAAAAGGGAUUGAAGCAGAAUCCCUUCAGCAGUGGGAAGAACAAAAGUCAUGGGAACUGGGUUGUGGAAACAGCAGGAGGAGGCGAGGACUUUUGUUUGAAGGGAAAGAACUGGAGAGUCCUGUCAGAGGCACCUGGGUCCAAUUAUCCAGGGCCCCAUCUACCUAGAAGAAAAAACUGCAUUUGACUCUCCCAGACUGACUGCACUCUCACCAGACUCUCAUCCUCUUUCUCACAUGAACUUAAAGGAAUGCAAGUGGUAGAGGGGACCAUGGCUGUUGAAAUACACCCUCUAGGAUUUCAUCACUGUUUCAUGUGUUAAAACAGCCUUAAGUUUGAUCAUCAGCAACUUACUCCUCUGCACAGGUUGUCCUGGUAAAAGAAUGAGAUGCUUAUUUUUUUCCCAACUUCACUGAGAUGCAACUGACAUAUAGCAAUGGGAGUUCAUGGUUUCCAGUCUUACUUUUAAGUCCCUAAGCCAUUUCCAGUCUGUACAGUCAUCCAAACUGGAUAAUUCAAUCAACUCUCCACUUGGAGCCUCGUAUUUGAUGAUCUCAUUGUUGUGGAAAUCUGAGAGAUGAAAAUAUAUAUUGGAGUCAAGAGAGGAGUGUUUUGCAAUACCAACCAAAAGCCUUUAAAAUGUUCUGUCGGUCCAAAAUUUCUACUCAUAGAAAUUCACCUUUAAUAAUCAGAAUUAUUAAUGAAGAUUUAUAAUAAGAUGUUUAUUCAGCUGUGGUGCAUGAUCAUAAUAAAAAUAGAAAUAACCUAAAAAUAUGACAUUAGGAGGAUGGUUGAAUAAGUAACCUCUCUUUGAAUGGCACACAGAUAUUUAAGUUGAACUUUGGAGAUGAUUUAAUGACUUGGGAAAAAUAAUCACAUUUGAAUGUUAAGUUUGAAAAGGAGGAUCACAACUUGUGUAUAUAGUAAACAUGGUUUUACAAAAUAUGAAAGUACCAAAUGUAUAGUGAAGAAACUGACCCCUAAAUUACCAAAGCAUAAGAAAAGAACACAAUAUACUAAAUAAAGGUAUAAAUUUAUUGUUGUUGUUUAGUCAUUCGGUCAUGUCCAACUCUUUGCAAGCCUGUGGACUGUAGCAUGCCAGGCUUCCCUGUCCUUCCCUGUCUCCCAGAGUUUGCUCACAUUUAUGUCCAUUGAGUCAGUGAUGCUAUCUAACCAUCUCAUCCUCUGCCAUCCUCUUCUCCUUUUGCCUUUCCC
ensembl:lncRNA